GGAAGAGGUGCAGGCCAGCUUGAUGAGCCACCGCAGCUGAUGUGUCAAGCUGUGGGCAUGCUCCAGGGACCCUGGGGGAAGGAAUCAGGCCUGGCACUCAGUGGCGUCGGUAAAGCUACCGGGUAUCACAUGUGGAGGGAGGUAGACAGAAGGAAGACAGUGGACUUUGAGUGAGCCACUCCUGUCUACAGUACUGGUGCCAAGGAGAGGCUGUGUGGCAUCUGGAGGUCAUUUCACGUCACUCUGUCUUAAUUCCAUCCAUGUUUCAUGGCUGUGGCAACCAUACCUGUCCCAGCUGCUGCACAGGUCAGCUUGAAACCCCACUAAGUACCGCGUGGGAAGCACCGCCUAGGUUAGAGUGGUCCGCAUGCGUAUGCGUUGUUACUGGGAGACAGGUUUCUUUGUUGGCACAGAGGCUCGGAGGUUGUCAUUAGCUGUCACUGCCCGCAGGAAGGGCUAAUUUAAUAGGUGACUUUGACUGUGGUGGCCCACAGAACAGUGGCUGUGAGCCCUGCUCAUCACAGUAAAUGCUGUUACUGUGAGGUUUCCAGUGAGGCAGGAUCCUGAGAAGAGUGAGGUCAUAAAGCGCACUCACUGCACGGGGGUGGACACCCAAGACCCAGUGCGGAGAAGCGAUCUCCACCCUUCUCCAUGGGCCGGGCUGGAGACCUUGCCCUGUGCUCCGUGUGUAACGGGCAUUUCUGCUGUCUUACUAACGCAUGCUCUGGGCCUCACCCCGCCCUCCUCACAGCCCGGUGCUGUGGUUCGGAGUACUUGUCUCUGCCACCAACACGCAUGAUGACGCUUGGUUCCUUCGCAGCGGGAUAUCUGGAGGUUUUUCAAAGGUUAAAUAUCCACUGGCUUCUGCAUAAAUAGGAUAGAAGAGAAGAAAAUGCAAAAUGCCAUUUGAUAAGAAUCUUAACCUCCAAAUUUCUUAAAUUCAGAGACUUUAGAAGAAGCGCAUUUGAAUUUAUUAACUAGUUAUGGCAAAAUGCCUUUAAAAUCGACUAAACAAAAUCAGCUAUUCUUGAUCUUGUCUCUGUCAGUACGCCUCCAGCGCACCGGAGCCCUGCUUCUCACUUGCAAGUCUUGCAGAUUCCUCGUCCUUUUAAGCCAGUAAAUUCAGAACUUUGAUACUCUGCGUCUUGACAUUUGGCCCACUGAGAAAAUGUACAGAACCUCAAGACAGCCACAGCUAUCAUAUUCAGGAGCUGUUUGUUUGGGCAGAUGCCUUAAAAUGUUGUGCUGGCUGCUGUCUUAAUUAUCACUGACAAACCCUUGAAGCCAAGAGGGAGCCUCGCAUCCAGCUCCAGCGAGCUCCCGUGGUCCCGUGAAGGAGCAAAUCACCUUAGAGCCCUCUGUGUCCCCGCGUGCCUGCGCUGCGCUGGGCGUGGGAAAGGCCCCGCUGCUCAGGACAAACGUCUUUUCUGACACAAGAGUCACAGCCGUUGAGACCCAAGACAAGCCCAUCCCUCAGAUUCACUCUCCGAGGGUCACCGGGAAUCUACAGGACCUGGAGGAAUCUUGCCCCUUCUGAUCACAUCUUCGAGUCUCCUGAUUAUUCCUUAAAAAGCAAUCCCAUGUUUCCUUCUGUGUUUUCCUUAGGAUUGCAUGUGACAGAUGGAAGCUCGGAUAUCAGGUUAUGAUGUUGCAGCUUAGUUAUUUGUCAAAUGUAUUCAUCCUUACCCUUCACAUUACCUUUAAAUUGCACUGCCUGGGAUGCAAGCAAAAUAAAACUCUGCAUAGAAGGAAAGCUAUUGAGACAUAAAUGCACAUUUCCCAUGACAGACAUGUCACCCCCACAGACCACAGGGAUAACUCAAUAAAUUGUUGGAAUACAAGUGCACGUGCAAAUGUGUGUGAACAUGAGUGUGUGUGUACAUUCUCAUUCACGGGUGUGUUGAUGCAUUUACCUUGAAAGAGGAAUUAGAAAGUAACUAGAAGACCAUGGUUUUUCGUUUUUUGUUUUUUUUUUUUUU
ensembl:lincRNA